rnacentral:rRNA from 1 species
GACGAAGGGGGCUAGCGUUGUUCGGAAUCACUGGGCGUAAAGGGCGUGUAGGCGGUUCGGUAAGUGGAAUGUGAAAUCCCCCGGCUUACCCGGGGAACUGCAUCCCAUACUGCUGGACUUGAGUGCGGGAGAGGAUGGAGGAAUUCCUGGUGUAGCGGUGAAAUGCGUAGAUAUCAGGAGGAACACCUGUGGCGAAGGCGUCCAUCUGGCCCGUUACUGACGCUGAGGCGCGAAAGCUAGGGGAGCAAACGGG